AGCAAAGUUGCUUACCAAACUCUGAUUGCCAAAUAUUUUACUUUUCAGCUUAAUGCAGAUAGGAUUCAGGAGUCAUUUGGAUUUUUAAAGCCCACAGAUUCAACUUGGGGGAAGAAUGGGUUCCGCACCCCACAUGGACCCUGAUGUGGGGCUUGACCCUGAGAUCAAGAACUGAGCUAAGAUCAAGAGUCCGACGGUUAAUGGAUUGAGACAUCCAGGCACCUCUCUCCUGAGCUUUUUAUGUGUUGAAGGCUGAUGUUUUAAAUCAAGACUCCAAAGGUGAAGGUGAGUUGUGCAGCUAGGUUUAACCAGGGCUGGGUCUGCCCUCUGGGUCUAGCUAACAGCUGC
rnacentral:lncRNA from 1 species